AUUUCCACUGCUGCUCUCUCAUCUGCUGCUCUGAAGCCUAAACCAUGGUGCCCAGAAUCUUCGAUGCAACUCAUGAGAAGCUGGAGGACCUGGAGAAGCUGGCAACUCAAAAAGGCCAAAGGGUGCAGACAAUAAAAGCCCCAGACAAGCGUAUAGAACCA